rnacentral:ncRNA from 2 species
AACUGAAUAAUAAAAACAGGUGCGAAAGCUUAAUAGAGAAAUCGGUAUAAGCCGAUGCGGUCCCGCCGCUGUAAAGAUGAGCCUGCUGCAAAUGCCACUGAGAUUGAUCUUGGGAAGGCGCAGCACGAGCGUUGAAUCUGAGCCAGAAGAACUGCCUGUUUUGAUAAAGUGAU